CCGUUCUUAAAAUCUGACAUCGGACAUCCGAUUUCCGACCUCUAGUGAGUAAGACCCCAUGGAGACGACAUGGUAGAUAGGUCCGGUGUGUAAGUGCAGCAAUGCAUUGAGCUAACGGAUACUAAUCGGUCGAGGGCUUGACCAA
rnacentral:rRNA from 1 species